AGCGAACGCUGGCGGCGUGCUUAACACAUGCAAGUCGAGUGAAGGAAAUCCCUGUAGCAAUACCGGGGUUUCUAUUCACGGCGCACGGGUGCGUAACACGUGGGUGACCUGCCCUAAGAUGGGGAAUAACCCCGCGAAAGCGGGCUAAUACCGCAUAAAAUUCCGCGACAUUCGGGUUGCGGAUUCAAAGUCUUCGGACGUCUUUGGAGGGCCCGCGGCCGAUUAGCUAGUUGGCGAGGUAACGGCNCACCAAGGCAAUGAUCGGUAGCUGGUCUGAGAGGAUGAUCAGCCACACUGGAACUGAGACACGGUCCAGACUCCUACGGAGGCAGCAGUGGGGAAUCUUGCGCAAACUGGGCGAAAGACCUGACGCAGCGACGCCGCGUGGGGGAUGAAGCUUC
rnacentral:rRNA from 1 species